rnacentral:rRNA from 1 species
GGUGAACGCUGGCGGCGUGCUUGACACAUGCAAGUCGAACGGUAUGUGGCAACACAUAGAGUGGCGAACGGGUGAGUAACACGUGGGAACGUAUCUUUUGCAGGGGGAUAACUGACCGAAAGGACAGCUAAUACCGCAUAAGUCCGGGAGGAGAAAGGUGCAACAGCAUCGGCAGAAGAGCGGCCCGCGGUCCAUCAGCUAGUUGGUGAGGUAAGGGCUUACCAAGGCGACGACGGAUAGCCGGCGUGAGAGCGUGGCCGGCCACAAGGACACUGAGAUACGGGUCCUACUCC